rnacentral:tRNA from 1 species
GCCUGGCUGGCUCAGUUAGAAGAGUAUGCAACUCUUGAUCUCAAGGUCAUGAGUUCAAGCCCCAUGUUGGGUA